UCAAGAAUUAGGGUGGGGCUCAAACUUAAGGUCAGGGAAAUCAAUACACCUUUCAAAAGAAGCUAUUGUUGUCUGGUCUACUGCAGUCGCUCUGCUGUCUUAAAACAAAAGAGGAAGAGGUCGAAAGGAUUCUUAAUAGAUAUGGCAGAAAAU